AUGUUUCUGAGGAGAAGCUGCCGUCCUGCUGUGCUUCUUGUCAGGACGUCCAGAAGGAUCCAGUCUCCACCGGCUGCGGACACUGGCUCUGCAGACGCUGCAUCACCUCAUACUGGGACCAGUCGGGGUCACCAGGAGAGUCCUCCUGUCCCCAGUGUGGAAAAAGAUCCAGAACAGGACCUGGAGCUCAGACAGCAGAAGAAUUCCGUCCAUGAAACUCCCAUCAAGUGCCACGACAUCUUUAAAGACGGCCCGACCAGCAGAGACGCAUCAGAGUCGUCCUGACGAACGGCGUCGCUGGCGUUGGAAAAACCUUCUCGGUGCAGAAGUUCACUCUGGACUGGGCCGAGGGUUUGGAAAACCAAGACGUCAGUCUGCUGGUUCUGCUUUCGUUCAGGGAGUUGAACCUGAUCAGAGACCAGCAGCACAGUCUUCUCACGCUGCUCCGUGUUUUCCAUCCAACAUUACGGAAGGUCACAGAGGAGAAGCUCGCUGUCUGUAGACUGUUGUUCAUCUUUGACGGCCUGGAUGAAAGCAGAGCUUCUCUGGAUUUCAACCACAGGGAGGUUGUGUCUGAUGUCACACAGAGGUCAUCAGUCAACGUGCUGCUGACGAACCUCAUCCAGGGGAAUCUGCUUCCCUUCGCUCUCGUCUGGAUAACCUCCCGACCUGCGGCGGACAAUCAGAUCCCUUCUACCUGUGUUGACAGGGUGACAGAGGUACGAGGCUUCACCGACGCCCAGAAGGAGGAGUACUUCAGUAGAAGGUUCAGUGAUGAACAGCUGUCCAGCAGAAUCAUCUCACACGUGAAGACGUCCAGGAGCCUCCACAUCAUGUGUCAAAUCCCAGUCUUCUGCUGGAUCAGUGCUACAGUUCUGGACCACAUGUUGACCACAGACCAGAGAGAAGAGCUGCCCGAGACCCUGACCGACAUGGACUCACGCUUCCUGCUGGUUCAGACAAAGAGGAAGAAAAACAAAUAUCAUGAAGGACGUGAGACGAGUCCACAGGAGCUGAUGGAGGCUGACAGGAAAGUUCUCCUGAAGCUGGGGAGGCUGGCGUUUGAACAUCUGCAGACAGGAAACAUCAUGUUCUACCAAGAAGACCUGGAGCGCUGUGGUCUUGACGUCACAGAGGCCUCGGUGUACUCAGGAGUUUGUACAGAGAUCUUCAGAGGAGAGAUUGUGAUCUUAAAGAAAACCGUCUACUGCUUUGUUCAUCUAAGCGUUCAGGAGUUUCUGGCUGCAGUCUACAUGUUCCACUGUUACACCCACAGAAACACAAAAGAAUUGGACGACUUUCUGGGAAAAAAUUGGAACAACUGACAACGUGACUCUUUUCUGGAAAACUUCCUGAAGACAGCGAUGGAGAAAUCCCUUGAAAGUCAAAAUGGCCACCUGGAUCUGUUUGUUCGCUUCCUUCAUGGCCUCUGUCUGGAGUCCAACCAGAGACUCUUAAGAGGCUUGCUUGGUUGGACAGGGAACAAACAAAUGAUCAUCCAGAGAGUUAUCAACAACCUGAAGAAGAUGAACAGUUAUGAAAUCUCUCCUGCCAGAAGCAUCAACAUCUUCCACUGUCUGAUGGAGAUGAACGACCUCUCAGUACAUCAGGAGAUCCAAGAGUUCCUGAAGUCAGAGAACAGAUCAGAGAAGAAACUCUCUGAGAUCCACUGCUCUGCUCUUGCCUACAUGCUGCAGAUGUCAGAGGAGGUUCUGGAUGAGUUGGACCUGGACAAGUACAACACAUCAGAUGGGGGACGACAGAGACUGAUCCCAGCUGUGAGGAACUGCAGAAAGGCUCGAUUUAUUCGCUGUGGACUCUCAGAGACUCACUGUGAAGUUGUGGCCUCAUCUCUGAAGUCCAACCCCUCCCACCUGAGAGAACUGGACUUGAGUGGAAACCCCUUGCUGGACUCAGGAGUGAAGGUUCUGUCUGCUGGACUGGAGAGUCCACAUUGUAGACUGGAGACUCUGAGGUUGAGUUACUGCAGCUUGUCAGAGAUCAGCUGUUCUUCUCUGGCCUCCGCUCUGAAGUCCAACCCCUCCCACCUGACAGAACUGGAGCUGAGUGAGAACAUGCUGCAGGAUUCAGGAGUGAAGGAGCUGUGUGGUUUUCUGGAGAGUCCACACUGUCGACUGGAGACUCUGAGGUUGAGAUGCUGCUGGUUGUCAGAGAUCAGCUGUUCUUCUCUGGCCUCAGCUCUGAAGUCCAACCCCUCCCACCUGACAGAACUGGAGCUGAGCCACAACGAGCUGCAGGAUUCAGGAGUGAAGGAGCUGUGUGGUUUUCUGGAGAGUCCACACUGUAGACUGGAGACUCUGAGGUUGUGGAGCUGCAGCUUGUCAGAGAUCAGCUGUUCUUCUCUGGCCUCGGCUCUGAAACGCAACCCCUCCCACCUGAGACGACUGAACCUGAGGGAGAACAAGCUGCAGGAUUCAGGAGUGAAGGAGCUGUGUGGUUUUCUGGAGAGUCCACACUGUCGACUGGAGACUCUGAGGUCAGUUCACUGUCUGUUACUGUUAAGAGUCACAGAACGCUGGACUCAAAGUGCAGAACACAUGAGUGACCAAGAGCGAGUGAAACACAAAGGAGACAGAGACAGAGAGAGAAGCAACAGCAAACUGAGUGAGUGA